GGAGAAGUACCCAAGUGGUGAAGGGGUUCGCUUGCUAAGCGAAUAGGCUGGGAAACCGGUGCGAGAGUUCGACCCUCUCCUUCUCCGCCA
rnacentral:tRNA from 1 species